rnacentral:rRNA from 1 species
AGAGUUUGAUCCUGGCUCAGGAUAAACGCUGGCGGCGUGCCUAAUACAUGCAAGUCGAUCGAUAGAAGUCCAGCUUGCUGGACGGAAAUAGAGGCGAACGGGUGAGUAAUACGUAAGCAACCUGCCCACGAAGACCGGGAUAAUCCCUGGAAACGGGGACUAAGACCGGAUAGGUACACAGACCGCAUGAUCAGUGUAUUAAAGGAGAGAGACACUGGUGGAUGGGCUUACGGUGCAUUAGCUGGAUGGUGAGGUAACGGCCCACCAUGGCGAUGAUGCAUAGCCGGGCUGAGAGGCUGAACGGCCACAUUGGGACUGAGACACGGCCCAGACUCCUACGGGAGGCAGCAGUAGGGAAUUUUCGGCAAUGGGGGCAACCCUGACCGAGCAACGCCGCGUGAGUGAUGAAGGUCUUCGGAUUGUAAAGCUCUGUUGUAAGGGAAGAACGGCAUCUAGAGAAUAGGUGAGUGACGGUACCUUACCAGAAAGCUACGGCUAACUACGUGCCAGCAGCCGCGGUAAUACGUAGGUAGCGAGCGUUAUCCGGAAUUAUUGGGCGUAAAGGGUGCGUAGGCGGCCUGUUAAGUUUAUGGUGAAAGCGUGGGGCUCAACCCCAUAAAGCCAUAGAUACUGGCAGGCUAGAGUACUGGAGAGGGUAGUGGAAUUCCAUGUGUAGCGGUAAAAUGCGUAGAUAUAUGGAGGAACACCGGUGGCGAAGGCGGCUACCUAGACAGAGACUGACGCUGAGGCACGAAAGCGUGGGGAGCAAAUAGGAUUAGAUACCCUAGUAGUCCACGCUGUAAACGAUGAAUGCUAGGUAUCGGGGCGACCCGGUGCCGAAACUAACGCGAUAAGCAUUCCGCCUGUGGAGUAUGCACGCAAGUGUGAAACAUAAAGGAAUUGACGGGGGCCCGCACAAGCGGUGGAGUAUGUGGUUUAAUUCGACGCAACGCGAAGAACCUUACCAGGCCUUGACAUCCCUUGCAAAAUCCUGGAGACAGGACAGAGGUUAUCAAGGAGACAGGUGGUGCAUGGUUGUCGUCAGCUCGUGUCGUGAGAUGUUGGGUUAA